rnacentral:rRNA from 1 species
GAUGAACGCUAGCGGGAGGCCUAACACAUGCAAGCCGAGCGGUAGAGUUUCUUCGUAAACUUGAGCGCGGCGCACGGGUGCGUAACACGUGUGCAACCUACCUUUAUCUGGGGUAUAGCCUUUCUAAAGGAGGUUUAAUACCCCAUAAUAUAAUGCUUGUCCUCCAUUAUUAUUGAAAACUCCGUUGGAUAGAUAUGGGCACGCGCACGAUUAGAUAGUUGGUGAGUUAACGGCUCACCAAGUCAAUGAUCUUUAGGGGUCCUGAGAGGGAGAUCCCCCACAGUGGUACUGAGACAAGGACGAGACUGCUACGGGAGGGAGCAGUGAGGAAGACUGGAGAAGGAGUGAGAGCCUGAUCCAGCCAUCCCGCGUGAAGGAUGACGGUGCGAUGGAUUGUAAACUUCUGUUGGACAGGGAUAAACCUACCCGAGGGAGGGUAGCUGAAGGUACUGUACGAAUAAGCACCGGCUAACUCCGUG